rnacentral:lncRNA from 10 species
UUUUCAUUCUGUAUCACCAGUUUUAAGAAGCCAAGGACAGGAAUCAAGAAACAGUUUCCCAUAAACACAUCAUUAAAAUCAAUCUUCACAUUCUCUAGCCUAGAUCAUACACUAUUGUGUUUGUGUUACUUUUUGGUCUUUUUCUUAUUAUGCAAGUAAUAUAUGUUGCAAAAGAAGUUGACAUUAUGGAAAUAUAUAGAGCAAAAAUUGCAAGUCCUGAUGCAUUGCUUCCCCUACACCCUCCCUGCCUCCCAGAGACAGUUAUUUUAAACAAUAGAGUCUAUAUCCUUCCAUGCCCUUUUGAUGUGUUUACAGCCAUAUGUAUGUGCAUAAUCACAGAUCAGAUCAUACAUAUAUAUAUUUUAAGAAAACCACGGUAACUAUUUCUAUAUAUGUAAUGAUUCUUUGCUGGAACAGGACAGCAGUUAGGAGCUCAGGGAUUGUCAGGUGCAAGAGAAAAACCAUAAUUUCCAGAUUUUUUUACCAGGUCAUUUACCUGCCCAUGAUCACUGAUUUGUAGCAGCAGAGCUGAGACUGAGACCUCCCUAUUUGGCCUCCUAGUCUGUGACUGGUCCCUUUUGCUUUGCUGCUUGAGUUAACAAACAGAUACAUUUCUAUAUAAUUAAUGGGUAAAAUCUUUUUCAUUAGAACUCUUUAGAACAGGGACACAGGUAAGAUCCUGGAGGAGGUACAGAUAAAUGAGAAUGAGAGCUGCAGCUGUGACAGUUUAACUGGUACCUCUCUUCCUGCAUAGACUGCAGGUCAUUGUGGAGGUAGAAGAGGAAGAUGAGAGGGGAUACCAGGAGGGGGUUAGGGAAUGAGUCAUGGCCCAAUGCACUGGAAGGUGGAUCCUCUUUUCUUUUCUCUCCUGCCAGCCAUCUGCAGGAGCUCUGUCUCACCUGUGGGAGCCUCUGGGUCCCCUCCUCACACACACUUGCGGUCUCCUCCCUCUCUUGCUAGAUUGUUUUUGCGCCCCCUCCAGCCCUUUCCUCUGUGAGGUUUGAUGGAAGGUUUUCAAUGUCUGCCUUUUAUUGAAUCUGUAGACUAGGAUUAAGGAACUGCCAUGUGUACUGUUAAAAUAUAUCCAGCUAGAAUGCCCAUUUUGUUUAUUGAUGUUUCCCAAGUGCCUGGAAGAAAGUCUGGCACAUGGUAGGCAUUCUUGAAAUAUUUAUUGAACAAAUGGUUUAAAUUUCUUCCAAUUAGUCGAAGCCACUCUUCAGCACACCAGAUCUUAUUUCUAGAAAGUACUAGAUUCCUCUGUUCUUUAGAGAAUUUGCAGAAACUAAUAUAUGGAGAGAGACCACUGUUGAGAAUUCUAUGCAGAUUUUUUAUUUUACUAUAAACUUUCAUCAAGACUUAAGGAUUCAGAACAUUUAUAUAUCAUGAGAAAUUUGUUAACUAUACAGAAAACCGUUUUGUGGAUUGAGGUGAUUAGAUUCUAAACAGAUUGCCCAGGAGACACUGGACUCUUUCUCUUAAAGUUAAAAAAAAAAAAGUCCAGGGGCGGUGGUUCACGCCUGUAAUCCCAGCAUUUUGGGAGGCUAAGGCAGGCGGAUCACGAGGUCAGGAGAUCGAGACCAUCCUGUCUAACAAGGUGAAACCCCGUCUCUACUAAAAAUACAAAAAAUUAGCCAGGCAUGGUGGCGGGCGCCUGCAGUCUCAGCUACUCGGGAGACUGAGGCAGAAGAAUGGCGUGAACCUGGGAGGCGGAGCUUGCAGUGAGCCGAGAUCACGCCACUGCACUCCAGCCUGGGCGACAGAGCGAGACUUGUCUC